UAACUGAUGUAAAAAAAAAAAACUGAAUUAUGUGGCAUGAUUUUCACAUUAACCGCAACAAAUCCUACUCCAAUAGGUCCUACUGACAAUUCUCACAAAAA
rnacentral:snRNA from 1 species